AAUAAGUGUACUUUUGCAUUGUUAACCGUUUAUCUUAUUUGAAAUUUUUUUAUGAUUAUUACUUUUAUUGUUAUUAGAUGAUAAAACAUAAAUAAUACUCUAAGUAUGACUAUUUGUUUUUAGUUUUUUAUAAUUUUUUAAAUAAGACAGACGGUCAAACGUUAGACAUGAAUACCCACGACUGCACUUAUU
rnacentral:pre_miRNA from 1 species